UACAGAGGUCUCAAGCGUUGUUCGGAUUUACUGGGCGUAAAGGGUGUGUAGGCGGUUGGGUAAGUCUGAAGUGAAAUCUCUAAGCUCAACUUAGAAAAUGCUUCGGAUACUAUCCGGCUAGAGGGUCGGAGAGGAGAUCGGAAUUCUCGGUGUAGCAGUGAAAUGCGUAGAUAUCGAGAGGAACAUCAGUGGCGAAGGCGGAUCUCUGGACGAAUCCUGACGCUGAGGCACGAAAGCCAGGGUAGCAAACGGGAUUAGAUACCCCGGUAGUCCUGGCUGUAAACGGUGCGCACUUGCUGUGAGCGGAUUCAAACCCGCUCGUGGCGUAGCUAACGCGAUAAGUGCGCCGCCUGGGAAGUACGGUCGCAAGAUUA
rnacentral:rRNA from 1 species